rnacentral:rRNA from 1 species
AUUGAACGCUGGCGGCAGGCUUAACACAUGCAAGUCGAGCGAGCUGCGGACUGGUGAGUAAUGUCUGGGAAACUGCCUGAUGGAGGUGGAUAACUCCUGGAAACGGUCGCUAAUACCGCAUACCAUCAGCGGUGCCCACAGGGGAUUAGCUAGUAGGUGGGGUAAUGGCUCACCUAGGCGACGAUCCCUAGCUGGUCUGAGAGGAUGACCAGCCACACUCGAACUGAGACACGGUCCAGACUCCGACGGUAGGCAGCAGUGGGGAAUAUUGCACAAUGGGCGCAAGCCUGAUGCCGCCAUGCCGCGUGUGUGAAGAAGGCCUUCGGGUUUUAAAGCACUUUCAGCGAGGAGGCGUGACUCGAAGAAGAAGCACCGGCUAACUCCGUGCCAGCAGCCGCGGUAAUAA